UAUUGUUGGAGGUUCAUCCAAGACUCCUCAGUUCUUUCUACUGCUGUCUACUUUGGACCAUAUUGCUAACGAUAAACUGCUGUGAACGUGUCUGUCAGAGACUGUGCGGGCUAAGAGAGAGAAGAGGAAAGAAAUCAGUCCCAUUUACAAUUAAUCAGCAGCUCCAAUGGGCGAAGCCUAGAGAUGAAGUAGAUGACCAUCCUUGAUUGGCUACAUGUGGAGAGGAAGCAGAGUUGUGCGUGAGAAGGAGAGCAAAGAUGAUGACCAGGAAGGAGUUCUUUUAAGAAGCCACGUUAUUCAUUCAGUCUGAGGUCCUGAUAAAGACCACGAUGCUGCCACAGAAAACUAACCAGGAGAAUUCCGGAGGGGCCGAAAGGAGGGAGGACACGCCAGCCCAUAGUAUGUCUUAUAAAACUAACCUGGAAGCAUUUGGGAGAGGCCAAAAGGAGGAGGGAGAAGACCAUAUGUCCUGCCAACCUCCCAGAAACCCUCAGGAAUCCAUCUUGGCUGAGAGAUGCACGUGCCACCAGGAAGAACCCUGAGUCAGAUGGCCAGAGACAACACAGAAACUUACCCCAUUACCAUAAAAUCUGAGACUGUGAGCCACGUGGCAGAGCAGUUCUCCUGGGUUCCCUUACCCUGCUGCUCUCUGCCCGGUACCCCUUCCCAGUAAAGUCUUUUGCUUUGUCAGUACGUGUGUCUCCUUGGACAAUUCAU